GACGAACGCUGGCGGCGUGCUUAACACAUGCAAGUCGAGCGGUAAGGCCCUUUCGGGGGUACACGAGCGGCGAACGGGUGAGUAACACGUGGGUGACCUGCCCUCAGCUCUGGGAUAAGCCUGGGAAACCGGGUCUAGUACUGGAUAUGACUCCAUGACGCAUGUUGUGGGGUGGAAAGCCUUGUGCGGCUGAGGAUGGGCCCGCGGCCUAUCAGCUUGUUGGUGGGGUGANGGCCUACCAAGGCGACGACGGGUAGCCGGCCUGAGAGGGCGACCGGCCACACUGGGACUGAGACACGGCCCAGACUCCUACGGGAGGCAGCAGUGGGGAAUCUUGCGCAAUGGGCGAAAGCCUGAACGCAGCGACGCCGCGUGAGGGAUGACGGCCU
rnacentral:rRNA from 1 species